GCCUCUUGCAAUAAACGAAUAAGAAGUCCCGCCUGCCCUGUGACUCUAGUUUAACGGCCGCGGUAUUUUGACCGUGCAAAGGUAGCGCAAUCACUUGUCUUUUAAAUGAAGACCUGUAUGAAUGGCAUAACGAGGGCUUAACUGUCUCCUCCUUCCAGUCAAUGAAAUUGAUCUCUCCGUGCAGAAGCGGAGAUAAAUACAUAAGACGAGAAGACCCUAUGGAGCUUUAGACAACGGACAGACCAUGUUAAUAAACCUAACCUUAGCAGAAUAAACUAAUAGAUUUACUGUCCUAAUGUCUUUGGUUGGGGCGACCGCGGGGAAACAAAAAACCCCCAUGUGGAAAGAGAACACCCUCUUACAACCCAGACUGACAAUUCCAAGUAACAGAACUUCUGACCAAAAAUGAUCCGGAAAUUACCGAUCAACGAACCAAGUUACCCUAGGGAUAACAGCGCAAUCCCCUCUUAGAGUCCAUAUCGACGAGGGGGUUUACGACCUCGAUGUUGGAUCAGGACAUCCUAAUGGUGCAACCGCUAUUAAGGUUCGUUUGUUCAACGAUUAA
rnacentral:rRNA from 1 species